AUUGAACGCUGGCGGAAUGCUUUACACAUGCAAGUCGAACGGCAGCACGGACUUCGGUCUGGUGGCGAGUGGCGAACGGGUGAGUAAUACAUCGGAACGUGCCCAGUCGUGGGGGAUAACGUAGCGAAAGCUACGCUAAUACCGCAUACGAUCUAAGGAUGAAAGCGGGGGAUCGCAAGACCUCGCGCGAUUGGAGUGGCCGAUGGCAGAUUAGGUAGUUGGUGGGGUAAAGGAUCACCAAGCCGACGAUCUGUAGCUGGUCUGAGAGGACGACCAGCCACACUGGGACUGAGACACGGCCCAGACUCCUACGGGAGGCAGCAGUGGGGAAUUUUGGACAAUGGGCGCAAGCCUGAUCCAGCCAUUCCGCGUGCAGGAUGAAGGCCCUCGGGUUGUAAACUGCUUUUGUACGGAACGAAAAGGCUCUGGUUAAUACCUGGGGCUCAUGACGGUACCGUAAGAAUAAGCACCGGCUAACUACGUGCCAGCCGCCGCAGUAA
rnacentral:rRNA from 1 species